CAGAGGGUGCGAGCGUUGUCCGGAAUUACUGGGCGUAAAGGGCGCGUAGGCGGCCUGAUAAGUCGGGGGUGAAAUUCAGCGGCUCAACCGCUGGACUGCCUUCGAGGCUGUUAGGCUCGAGCACGGUAGAGGCUGGUGGAAUUCCCGGUGUAGCGGUGGAAUGCGUAGAGAUCGGGAAGAACAUCGGUGGCGAAGGCGGCCAGCUGGGCCGUUGCUGACGCUGAUGCGCGACAGCGUGGGGAGCAAACAGGAUUAGAUACCCUGGUAGUCCACGCCGUAAACGAUGGGCACUAGGCGCCGGGGGGGAGCGACCCCUUCGGUGCCGUCGUUAACACAGUAAGUGCCCCGCCUGGGGAGUACGGCCGCAAGGCUG
rnacentral:rRNA from 1 species